AGGUAGAAGACAAAAUAUGUGCGAUAUUUAGGGCCCCCGGAAGGCAGAAAUUCAGGAAACUGCCGGCGUUGGGGACAGGAAAGCCCUCUGGGAGGGCAGCCUCCAUCCCUCCUUCCCCUGGUCCUCUGAAUUUUUUUUCUUGCUGUGUAGACUGAGAGACUGAAGGAGAUGGCGCAUGCCCAGCAAAGACCGGUUUAUUUCCAUGCCUUUGCAAGAAAAUUUCAUUUAUGAGACGAACGCACAGCUCACCUGCAGCCCUGAGACGUGCUGUGGCUCGAGAAGGGAAAAAGGAGAUGCGCAAGCGCAGGACCUCACCCCGGAAGCAGUUUCCACGCAGGCGCACUCAGGAAGCCAAGCAAUUCCGCUGGAGGAACUCACGUUGCAAAAGGCGAAGUAGGAUGUUCAGAGAAUCCAAGUUGAUGUGGUGUUAAGCCCGAGUGGGGGAGUACAGUUUACUGCCUGUAGGAUCAGAAAGAUGUGGAUACGACAUCACGACCCUAUUUUUACACUGUGAGACCAGGGCUACCAGGCUUAGAUGGCCAGGAGGAAUGGUACAGAGCGCCAGAUUGGGAAAGCAUUUUGAAUCUUGUGAGUCCAGGGCAAUCAGUUCCCAUAAAAGAACUUUAAGUUGAUAUGAAACCGUGCCUCGUGGUGAAUUCUCACGCCACACCAGUUUUGCCCUCUUGGCUGAGAAUUUAACUAGGACAAACCCUCUACUCUCUAUUAUACAGCAGCAGUCCAGGUACUGAGGGAAGCUCCCGGAUUCUGUGGUGUGGGGGAAAACAGAAUUUCCCAGAAUACACAAAGGACCCUAACAUCAUAUUUAUUAAAUCUUGUGAUGUUAGUUUGCUGAACCUAUUUCUUCCACAUGAAAGUAUUUGGGGAAAUAACGCGACUGUAUUUUGAGAACUGAGAAGUCUACACUGGUCCUUGGGGACUAAGCAAACCCUGGAAGAGUCACUGGACGUUGGUGGCAAGUCACAGGGAUGAGGAGGCUGCGGCAUCCUGAUGUUUGCCUCUGAGUUCUCCAGCAACUCCUUCCCACCCUGCUGUGUCCCCCCUCACCCCAGCCUUGUCUCUCCCCCCAGACACACAGGACACUUUCCCUACUCAAAAUAAAAGGAGGACCUUUUGGACACUUUA